rnacentral:lncRNA from 1 species
CCAUUUAUAGUUAAGCCAGAUGCUGGCUUGACUCUGUGAGCCAUAUAGUGUACAGCUGGCCAUUGAUACAUUUACGUUGUGGAGUAUUAUGCUUGCAUGUUGCUUAGUACGGUAUGCAGUAAACACGUUGUGUAACCUGUUUGUGUACUUGUGUGAAGUUGAUGGUAAAUGGGUAUUGUAAGUAAUUUUGAAGGGGGAUGCAGUUACAGAGACAGAGGAAAUGGUGUGGUGUUAGUCGGUUAGGUCCGGCGGCUCUGGCGCUGCACACGGCCCAGCCCCACGGCCCCGCCGACGAGCGCUGCUGCAGGACAGGGCUUCAAGAGGCCGCAGAGGUGAGAGGCGGCGGCGUGGGGAGGGGGGAUGAGGGGCAGGUGUGUGUGAGGGGGGGGGUGCAGACCAUUGCGUGGCAUGCAGGCGGCGGGGGCUGGGGUGGGGUGUUCUGGUGUGGAGGCCGGGGGAUCCCCCGGAGUAUAUAGGGGAGGCGAGGGGAAGGCAGUGCUGGGACGUCUGGUGCACGUGGAGUUGGGCCUUGGGGUGUGCUCCUGCUCUUCCCCUUCACCUCCUCAGCCCGCGCCGCGCGUACCUGCCCCUAGGUUUGCCUGUGCCGCUGCGGCAUUGGCAUAUCCAGUUGCUUGCACUGACGGCUGGCACCUGCCACGGUCGUCAACACCUGCACCUGCGCACCCCAGCACCAGCGGCUCUGGCGCUGCACAUGGCCCAGCCCCAGGGCCCCUUCGACAAGUGCUGCUGCAGGACAGGGCUUCAAGAGGCCGCAGAGGUGAGAGGCGGCGGCGCAGGGGGGGGGGGGGCAGGCAUGGGGGGGGGGGGGAGGCGGGGGGUCCAACUGUUGCGUGACAUGCAGGCGGCGGGGGCUGGGGUUGGAAUGUUCUGGCGUGGAGGCCGGGGGAGCAAGGAGGGGAGGCAGGGGGAAGGCAGUGCUGGGAGUACACAUGUUGUUGACGCUCAGCCAUACAGGCAUCCGUAGAUGGCGGGAUGCCUGUAUGACUGAGUCAUGACUACUGAGGAUGCCUGCAUGUCUGAAUGUGAACAAUUUUCAGCGGGUUCUUGCCCCCUAGGCAAGACGUCAGUAUUGGGGAUACAUAUCUAUCCUGGACCAGCCUGAUACCCUCUACCAAGGGUGCAUGAUUUGGUUGUCUUGCAAGGACUGUAAACACUUGACACUACUUGCAACCACAUAAGCACUGCACACCAGCUCUAAAGGACAUUAAACUUGAAUCCAAAGCAAACUGUCUUCCGGACACUUCCAUCUGCUUGCCCUCAACUCACACCACUUACCUGCCCUGCUGCUCUCCUGUAUUUCAGGCAGACCCAAGCUCACCAUGACACCAAUACAAGCCACAUCCAUCCCAAGCUACACAAAUGUAUGUUCCUGAGCUUCGCAAACUGAGGACCAGGGGUGGGGGCUGGCUUGCAUACUCCACAACGGUUUCCCUUCGGGCCGGAGAUGGUUCCCUCCUGACCUGGGUGCUGGGCACCCUUGCUUGGGCGGACUGUCCCUUCUUGUAAUGUCACAUUCAUACUCCACAACUGUUGGGAUGUGGGCAGACAUGUAAACCGCAUUAGUCACAUUACGGCCACCACCGCUGUGUUUGCCACCAAAAAUUAUGAUCAAUAUAUCUGGUAUGCCAGGCACGGGAGCGAUCAGUGGGGAUGUGUAAAGCAAGGGUGUGG